GGGGUGGCCGCCGGGCUCUUCGCAUGCAGAGACUGAACUCCCCCGAGGUGCUCCCGAAGAAGAAGCAGUUAGCAGGACUGACUUUCUAGGAGCGCCUGGACGCUGCGCUGGAGGCUGCCCUGCAGGGAGAAGGAACCCGCUGAAGGCAGUGGGGGCCCUCCCUGUGCAGUGUGCUGUCCCUGAGCUCAGGCUUCCCGUCUGCAUCGGACCCUAGGCGGUUCUGGGAAUGAGUGUUUAAUCUCAGAAAGUUUAGGAAAACCCCCGUCCUGGAACGUCUUUGUUGUAUUUUUCUCCUUUAGCAGAAAGCUUAUAACCCAGCUUUGAUUAAAGAUGACUUCCUUGAUCACUCAAGAAAUUCACCUUUCUAAAAGACAUGAAGAAAUAGUAUCACAAAGAUUAAUGUUACUUCAGAAAAUGAAGAAUAAUUUUGGAGAUCAAAACACAGAAAGAGCAUGUCUCCUUCAAGCCACUGAGACUGCUUCAAAAAGGAACCUCAGUCUCUUGCAGGACAUAGAAGCUUCAGAGAAGUCCUUACAGACAAGGCUUAAGCCAUAUCCACAACCUGCGGUACGUUCUCUUGAGACGCGUUACUGGGCAUCAGUAGAAGAAUAUGUCCCCAAGUGGGAGCAAUUCCUUUUAGGAAGAGCACCAUAUCCAAUUGGUGGUGAAAUUCAAAAUGAGGCAGGAUACACCAUUCAAAACGAGGCGAAGUGAUAACUUCUUCGUAUGUUACUCAGAAAACAAAAACAAAAUCAAAAAAACAACUAUCUGAUAAAAACUAGUCAUGACAGGGACUUUAGGGAAUAAAUGUGCUUUUUUUCAUUGCAAUGUCAGUGUAAGCGUCCACUGAAAAGUCUCAGGUUAGACUAGUUCAAGGUUGUAAAUUUGCCAAUGAAAGUGUUAAAAAUGAAUGCUAAGAUGGGGUGUUUGUUAAAGAUGGUAUUAGAUCAGUGUUGUGUGUGUGUGUUUAAAACAUUUGCCCUCAUUACACCCUUGUCUAGUUUUCCAUUACUCACCAUGGGAACAGGCACAAGGGGUGGGUUUGCUUACAGGGAUAAAAGUCUUCCUUGCUUAGUUGCUCCUGUCCGUAUGGUUAUCAGAAAAUGGAUUCACAGGAUUGGGUGCCUCAGACAGGCUUCUCUGAGAUUUUAUCUACAAAGGGUUCAUUAUGUAGCCGGUUACAGGACUGCUCGAUAUAAUUUUGAAAAAGACCUACGAGAGCUGGAAAUGGCUACUGAAUUCUGACUGGCUUGAAGACUCCCAACCUUGUGAAAACAAAUAACCUCACCAUCGGUGUUAUCUCUUAACUUGCCCUCCCCACUCCUUUCUGUUAACAUUCUCUUACAUGUAAAACUAUUCUAACUGUGGAGGCAGCUUCGGGGAGGUUGCCUGCACGGGCAUUGCAGCAAACUAUUCUGAAUUGCAAACUUGUGGUUUUGUCGUCCUGUUUUAAAGAUUAUUCUCCCUUAUAUUUUGUGUUGUCUUUAAGACAGAGUUUCACUCUAUAGCCAAAGCUGGUCUUGAAGUCACAGCAAUCCUCCUGCUUCAGCUUCUGAGCAUUGGGAUUACAGGUAUGAGCCCCCACACUGAGGUCAUUUGUAUUUUUUAAAGUAGACAAUGGGAUGAGUUAAAACUCACACAAGCCCUCACUAUAACAAAAACCUAGUCAAGCAUCCACUGUGCAACACGUCCCUUGUUCACUGCCAUCUUGGGAAUGUCCUGUUGAGUGGGUGUUGGUGUGGGUAACAAUAACAUUGUUUUCAUAAUAUGUGCUGGCAGAUUAGCACACUUCUCUGCAGUGUUAACAGUUGUAAUUAAGGAAUAAACAGCACAGGGUGUCAGUCCGAUGACAA